rnacentral:rRNA from 1 species
CAGUAGCCACGGUAAUACGUAGGUCCCGAGCGCUGUCCGGAUUUAUUGGGCGUAAAGCGGGCGCAGGCGGUUAGAUAAGUCUGAUGUGAAAGCCCCCGGCUCAACCGGGGAGGGUCAUUGGAAACUGGGAAACUUGAGUGCAGAAGAGGAGAGUGGAAUUCCACGUGUAGCGGUGAAAUGCGUAGAGAUGUGGAGGAACACCAGUGGCGAAGGCGACUCUCUGGUCUGUAACUGACGCUGAGGAGCGAAAGCGUGGGGAGCGAACAGGAUUAGAUACCCGUGUAGUCCCUGUCUCUUAUAC